rnacentral:rRNA from 1 species
GCUACGGCGUCGAAGCAGUCUAUGUCAUACUUCCAAGAAAAGCUUGCACUGUCAUAAACAAAUAAUGCCUGUACCAUAACCGACACAGGUGGGUAGGUAGAGUAUACUAAGGGGCGCGAGAUAACUCUCUCUAAGGAACUCGGCAAAAUGACUCCGUAACUUCGGGAGAAGGAGUGCCUUAUUUAUAAGGUUGCAAUAACAAGAUCCAAGCAACUGUUUAUCAAAAACACAGGUCUCCGCUAAGUCGUAAGACGAUGUAUGGGGGCUGACGCCUGCCCAGUGCCAGAAGGUUAAAGAAGUUGGUUAGUGUAUGCGAAGCUGAUGACUGAAGCCCUGGUGAACGGCGGCCGUAACAAUAACGGUCCUAAGGUAGCAAAAUUCCUUGUCGGGUAAGUUCCGACCCGCACGAAAGGCGUAAUGAUUUGGAUACUGUCUCGGAGAGAGGCUCGGUGAAAUAGACUUGUCUGUGAAGAUGCGGACUACCUGCACCAGGACAGAAAGACCCUAUGAAGCUUUACUGUAACUUGAAAUUGGAAUUGGACUUUGCUUGCGCAGUAUAGGUGGAAAGCGUUGAAGAUAUUCUUGCGGGAGUAUUGGAGCUAUCAGUGAGAUACCACUCUUGUAAUGUUAGAUUUCUAACUUUGAACCAUAAUCUGGUCAAAGAACAGUUUCAGGUGGGCAGUUUGACUGGGGCGGUCGCCUCCCAAAUGGUAACGGAGGCGUACAAAGGUUUCCUCUGAACGGAUAGAAAUCGUAUCUAGAGUGUAAAGGCAUAAGGAAGCUUGACUGUGAGACCUACAAGUCGAGCAGGGACGAAAGUCGGUCUUAGUGAUCUGACGGUACUGAGUGGAAAGGCCGUCACUCAACGGAUAAAAGUUACUCUAAGGAUAACAGGCUGAUCUCCCCCAAGAGUUCACAUCGACGGGGAGGUUUGGCACCUCGAUGUCGGCUCAUCGCAUCCUGGGGCGGUAGUACGUCCCAAGGGUUGGGCUGUUCGCCCAUGAAAGCGGUACGCGAGCUGGGUUCAGAACGUCGUGAGACAGUUCGGUCCAUAUCCGGUGUAGGCGUUAGAAUAUUGAGAGGAGCCUUCUUUAGUACGAGAGGACCGAGAAGGACACACCGCUGGUGUACCAGUUAUCGUGCCAACGGUAAACGCUGGGUAGCUAUGUGUGGAGUGGAUAACCGCUGAAAGCAUCUAAGUGGGAAGCCCACCUCAAGAUGAGUAUUCGC